rnacentral:pre_miRNA from 1 species
GCCGUUCUUACAAUGUUCAGUUUAGUGUCAGUUAACUUUAACCGGACAUUGUGAGAACGGCUC